rnacentral:lncRNA from 1 species
GAGGCGGCUCACCUGGCGACACAGAAGGGAAGCCAACACAGGCUCUGCCCCUCAGGCCCGUGGUGCUUGGGUGGACAGGCUUAUCCUGGAACACUGGGUACAAGGCUGAGCCAGCCCAGAGAGCCCAGCAGAAGGCUGUGGAGAUGGUGUCAGGAUGCCCAAGUGGUCUAAGGCGCCAGACUCAAGGACAGGAAUUGAACUCAAGGCCUUCACACUGAGCUACAACCCCAGCCCACUGUUUAUAUUUUGUUUUUGAGACAGGAUCUCACUAAAUUGCUAAGUUGCUCAGGCUGGACUUGAACUUGCUAUCCUCCUCUUUUAUGUCCCAGAGUUCAGGGAUUACAGGCAUG